rnacentral:sRNA from 1 species
ACAUCACCCGGGGGCGUGUGCUUGCUCUGGAAAUGAACCUGCUUCCCCAGAAAGGAGAUGUGUGAAAAUUCUUUGUCCUCUAGGAUACAGACAGUGAGUGUGGGAGUUAGCACAGAACCUUGCUAUGCCAGGGCACAGUGACAGCCUGGGCUUCACCCUGAAACACUAAACAAGAACAGGAGGCAGGGAAUGAAGAGUCUCUUAGAGCCAAUGGAUUCCACUCCUUUGGAUGACCGGCUCCAGGCCCUGGAGCCCUCAGAAUAUGGAUGGAGACUGUUCUGCAUCUCAUUUUCUUUUCUGGGAUACCUAGCAAGAAGGUGCUUCCUGGAGGGGCCUGCCCCACUGUUCCUGUGCUGAGUUCCAGGACAGCCUCAACUUCAGCUACCAUCCCUCAGGCCUGAGCCUGCACCUCAGACCACCCAGUCGGGGAAGCUCCCCCAAGGAGCAGCCCCUCUCCCAAGUCCUAAGACCUGAGCCCCCAGAUCCAGAGAAGCUUCCUGUGCCCCCUGCCCCUCCAUCCAAGAGGCACUGCCGCUCACUCUCAGUGC